GUUUCUCCCUUGCGUAAGCCAUCUUCGUCUGUGGGCAACUUUGCAUGCGUUGUCAAGAGUGCAUGUUUGUCUGAGUGCUUCUGACAGACGCACAGGAGCCAGGCCCAAAAGGGAGCUGGCAGCCUCCAUGGCCAAGCUUGGCUCCAAAGGGAGAGCUCCUUCCUGUUUGGACUCAAAAGCUGGCCAGGACUGGUCGGAACUCCCGGACCUUAGGUGUUUACCUGGUCGCCAAGGCAACCAGGUUCCGUGCCGGUCCUGUGUUGCUCAGUCCCCUCGUGGACUUGGUGGCAGUUGGAAGCUCCUCCGAGGUCUUCUGGCAGGAGGUGUUUGUGCCCACGUGCCGUCCCUUCUACUUGGGUGAGACCAAGUCCUUGAGCCCCUAGAGAUCAUGGCUCCUCACCUGAGAAGAAACAGAAAAGCCAAGUGGUGGCGGCUGCUCUGUUGCUUCUCCAGCAUCACAAAGGAAGAAGAGGCUCCUGAGGCCCCUCCUGCCAGUCCACCAGAGACAGAGAACGUAACCUAUGAUGUAGAAGGAAGCUCCAGCCCCCAGGUAAGAAAUGAAGGGAUGUCCCCUGGUAGAAAGGGGGGAUGGGUGGUGGGCAGUAAGAGUAGCCACAAUAUCCAGCUGAUGGCUGAUGCCGGAGGGCACCAUGGAGUACACUUUGCUCCCCUGCCUCUCCAGUAACCAUGAAUGUAACCCUGGGCUCUGACAAGGGCAGGCUUGGCUUUAACACCCACAUCACAUGAUUUUGAUUCCUAGGAUUUCCUUGACAGCGGAGACACCAUUGAUGAUAUAAGGACCAUCAACAACGAAGAGUGGACCCCUAGCCCCACAUCUGACAUGUAGGCUAUGUUUUUUUUUUAUUGUGGAAGAGUUGAGUUUGUAAUUUCAGGGAGCAGCAAAAUAGAACUCCUGGCUUCUUAAGGAUGAGCAGUGUCCUGGUGGGUUGAGUGUCCUUACUCACACUUACACCGUUGCCCUGCUUUGAUCUCUUUUUGGACUGAAAGCAGAUCCAGUUCCCAGUAUUUGCAUAAAACUGAAGGAAAACUGGAUAGAGAGUCCAGCAGGGUUAUCCACGCCCUUUUCUUUCCUUAUGAUUUCAUUGUCUUAUGUUUGUACUCUAGGACUUUCUCCUUCAGUACAUGGGAGCCAAGGAUGAACGAGACUUAUGAUGUGGAAGAGAGCUCUGGCCCCUUGGUGAGAAAUGGAGGCUUGUGUGCUGGAUGAAAGGCAGAGGUUGGGGUGGGGUGGCUGGAUAAGAGGAGCCAAAACAUCCAGCUGCAAAGUGCUCCUUUGGGUAAAGGUUGACCACCGCAUGCCCUGAGUACACCUUUGGGCAGAGCCUGGGGUAAGCUUAAUUUAAGGGAAAUGAGUGAAAUAACACAUGCACCAUUUGGGUUCCCAGGAUUCCCGAGACCAACAGGACACCCUAGAUGAUGUGAGCAGCAUCAAGGAUGAGGAGUGGUUCCCUUCUCCCAAUUCGGCCAGGUAGGACCGUCUCAGGUCAGGGAGGGCAUCCAUUUUUGCAAGAGGUCUGUCCUACUUUGGGUCACUUCACUUUUUAGGGAGUGAGGGAUUGGAUUCUCAAGGAAUGUUAAGCCAAGCUCUCUGCCUUAUUGUGGAUGAGCAUCCUGCUGGUGCCCUUUGUUCAGCUCCUCUCACUUGAAGCGUUAAAUGUGUCUGC
ensembl:lncRNA